UUUUUUGAUUUUUUUAAAUUAAUGGUGCUUAUUUGACCUCGAUGGUGCCAACUAGGGUUUUUUUUUCAUGAAAAUGACCAUAGACCAAGUUUAGUAUUUUUCUCGUAAGUGUGUCUUAUAAAACAACGAACGGCGAAGGUUUCAUAUUUUUUCGAUUUUUUUGAAAUUAGUUAUGCUCAGUCAAAGCUUUUAUAACCCCGUUGACCAGCUCAAAACCCCUCUAAACCCCGCGGGGUUUCGCCUAACCCUAGCUCCCAACGUCAGUCGUCUGAUCACACCCUGGCACCAAGCGACAGCCCU
rnacentral:lncRNA from 1 species